rnacentral:tmRNA from 1 species
GGGCUUGUACUGGUUUCGACGGGGGUUUGGAAGUUGGAGAAGCCAUCCGCGGGACGGGACCGCGCAGUAAACCGUAUUUAAAAUUAAACGCAGACGAUAAUUACGCGUUAGCUGCCUAGUUUGCAGCAGUCGGCCUUAGGUCGCUCAUCGCUUAAGUAACCGGCUUCGACCAGAUGAGGCACUUCGUUCUCAAAGCUUUGAGGGAAUGGAAGAUUUUAUGAAGCUACUGAAUUCGGCAGCCUGUCAUUAGGCGUCCGAAGGAGGGAAUGUCAAAGUAAUGACUGUGAUGGGAGAUGCUCUGAUGGAUGAGCUUUCGGACAGGGGUUCGAUUCCCCUCAGGUCCAU